rnacentral:rRNA from 1 species
UAAUGUGAUUAGGUAAUCAUAGUAUAUGGUGGAUGCCUUGACAUUAAAAAGCUAAGAAGGACGUAGCAAUCUGCGAUAAGCAUCGGAGAGGUGAUAAGCAACCUUUGACCCGGUGAUUUCCGAAUGGGGAAACCCAAUACCCGUUAUAGGUAUUAUCAAUAUUUGAAUAAAAUAGAAUAUUGAAGCAAACCUGGGGAAGUGAAACAUCUCAGUACCCAGAGGAAUAGAAAACAAUAGUGAUUCCCAUAGUAGUGGCGAGCGAAAUGGGAACAGCCUAAACCUAUUAGUGUGUUGUUUGAACUAAGUUUAGUUUUAUCUUUUCAGAGUUCGAACUUUAAAGGAACUGACCGUUGCCUAAUAGGUGUUGUAAGAUGAAUUCGUUUGAUCUUCAGUUAGAUCUAAAUAGAGUCAAAAAUUAUUUGUUUUAGAAAAACAACCUGGAAGGGUUGACCAUAGAAGGUGAAAGUCCUGUAUUCGAAAAAACAAGUAACUCUAUAGGAUUCUCUCUUAAGUACUGCGGGACACGUGAAAUCCCGUAGGAAUCUGGCGCGACUAUGCGCUAAGGCUAAAUAUUUUUAAUGAUCGAUAGUGAACCAGUACCGUGAGGGAAAGGUGAAAAGCAUCCCGAGAGGGAGAUGAAAUAGAAUCUGAAACCAUAUACUUACAAUAAGUAGGAGCCCAUUUUUAUGGGUGACUGCGUGCCUAUUGAAGAAUGAGCCGGUGAGUUAAUAUAUAUUGCUAGUUUAACCUAUUUAGGUAGGGUAGGCGUAGUGAAAGCGAGGGUUAAUAGCCCGAUUGAGCAUUAUGUAUUAGACCCGAAACCGAGUGAGCUAUCCAUGAGCAGGAUGAAGGUAAUCGAAAGAUUAUUGGAGGUCCGAACCCACUAGUCGUUCAAAACUAGGGGAUGACUUGUGGAUAGGGGUGAAAUGCUAAUCGAACUCGGUGAUAGCUGGUUCUCCUCGAAAUAGCUUUAGGGCUAGCCUCAUUUGUUCCCUGUUGGUGGUAGAGCUACUGAAUGGGUGUAGGUGACUUAUGUCUACUACGUCCAACCAAACUCCGAAUGCUAACAGGUUAGAGAAUGGGAGUCAGACUAUGGGCGCUAAGGUCCAUUUAGUCAAAAGGGAAACAGCCCAGAUCGCAAUCUAAGGUCCCUAAAUUUAUGUUAAGUGUAAAAGGUGGUGAUUAAACUUAAACAGCUAGGAGGUUGGCUUAGAAGCAGCCAUCCUUUAAAGAAAGCGUAACAGCUCACUAGUUUAGUUUUUCUGCGCCGAUAAUGUAACGGGGCUAAACAUAGUACCGAAGAUGCGAAUUUCUUUCUAUUUAUAGAAAGGAGUGGUAGAGGAGCAUUUUAUAUGAUUUGAAGCAAUAUCGCGAGGUGUUGUGGAUCGUAUAGAAGAGAGAAUGCCGGCAUGAGUAGCAAGAAUGAAGGUAAAAAUCCUUCACACCGCAAACCCAAGGUUUCCAGGGCAACGAUUUUCGGCCCUGGGUUAGUCGGUCCUAAGCCGAGGCUAAAUAGCGUAGGCGAUGGAUGAGCAGGUUAAUAUUCCUGCACUAUAUUUACGUUUCGUCCGAUGGGGGGACGCAUUUUAAAAGAUCUUACACAAUUUGGUUAUGUGUGUUUAUGAUUAGUAGAGAUUAUAUGAAGCAAAUCUUUGUAUAGUUAAGUCUCAAAAAUUGUAUGAAUUUUUACGAAAGUAAGAAAAAAGAUUGGAUAGAGUGCCAAGAAAAGCCUCUAAGGUAUAUCGUAGAUAUAACCGUACCGCAAACCAACUCAGGUGGGUGAGGAGAGUAUCCUCAGGUGCACGAGAGAACCUUUGUUAAGGAACUAGGCAAAACAGCGGCCGUAACUUCGGGAUAAGGCCUUCCUCGAUUUAUUUCGGGGACACAGUAAAAGACUCCGAUCGACUGUUUAACAAAAACACAGCUCCCUGCUUAAAGCGAAAGCUGAUAUAUAGGGGGUGAUGCCUGGCCAGUGUCAGAACGUUAAGUGGAAGGGUGCAAGCCUUGAAACCAAGCGCUGAUGAACGCCGGCGAUAACUAUAAUCGUCCUAUGGUAGCGAAAUUCCUUGUCGGGUGAGUUCCGACCCGCACGAAUGGCAUAACGAAUUGGAGACUGUCUUAACAAAGGACUUGGCGAAAUUGCAAGACCGGUAAAGAUGCCGGUUACUUGUGGCUGGACGAAAAGACCCCGUGGAGCUUUACUACAAUUUGGCAUUGGGUUAGAGUUAUAUAUGUUCAGGAUAGGUGGGAGCUUAGGCAAUCUUGAGAUACCACCCUUAUAUAUUUUUAAUUCUAAUUUCUUACCGUUAUCCGGUGGAAAGACAGUGCCUGAUGGGUAGUUUAACUGGGGCGGUUGCCUCCUAAAAUGUAACGGAGGCGUUUACAAAGGUUGGUUAGGUUCGGAUGGAAAUCGAAUCGAUAGUGCAAACGCAUAAACCAGCUUUACUGCAAGAGUUACCACUCGAGCAGUUGCGAAAGCAGAAGUUAGUGAUCCGACAAUUCUAUAUAGGAAGGUUGGAGCUCAUCGGAUAAAAGUUACCCCGGGGAUAACAGGCUGAUCCGUUCUAAGAGUCCAUAUCGACGAACGGGUUUGGCACCUCGAUGUCGGCUCAUCGCAUCCUGGGGCUGUAUUAGGUCCCAAGGGUUAGGCUGUUCGCCUAUUAAAGCGGUACGCGAGCUGGGUUCAGUACGUCGCGAGACAGUACGGUCUCCUAUCCACCACAAGCGUUGAAAUUUGAAAAGGCUCAUCCCUAGUACGAGAGGACCGGGAUGAACAAACCUCUGGUCCACCAGUUGUCUUACCAAAGGCACCGCUGGGUAGCUAAGUUUGGUUUAGAUAAGCGCUGAAAGCAUCUAAGCACGAAGCUGUCUUUAAGAUUAGAUUUCAUUUGAGACCCCUGGGAGACUACCAGGUUGAUAGGCUCUAUGUGUAAGCACAGUAAUGUGUUCAGCAAAGGAGUACUAAUUAGUCGAACCUAAUCAC